rnacentral:rRNA from 1 species
CUACGGGUUGCACCAGUGAGGAAUAUUGGUCAAUGGGCGCAAGCCUGAACCAGCCAUGCCGCGUGCAGGAAGACGGCCCUAUGGGUUGUAAACUGCUUUUGUUGCGGAGCAAUAAGGGCCUCGUGCAGGUCCGAUGAGAGUACGCAGCGAAUAAGCAUCGGCUAACUCCGUGCCAGCAGCCGCGGUAAUACGGAGGAUGCAAGCGUUAUCCGGAUUUAUUGGGUUUAAAGGGUGCGUAGGCUGUGCGUUAAGUCAGAGGUGAAAUAUUUCCGCUCAACGGGGACACUGCCUUUGAUACUGGCGCGCUGGAGUGCGGAUGCCGUUGGAGGAAUGAGUGGUGUAGCGGUGAAAUGCUUAGAUAUCACUCAGAACACCGAUUGCGAAGGCAUCUGACGAGUCCGUAACUGACGCUGAGGCACGAAAGCGUGGGGAUAGAACAGGAUUAGAUACCCGGGUAGUC